rnacentral:rRNA from 1 species
CCUACGGGAGGCAGCAGUGAGGAAUAUUGGUCAAUGGGCGCGAGCCUGAACCAGCCAAGUAGCGUGAAGGAUGACUGCCCUACGGGUUGUAAACUUCUUUUAUAGAGGAAUAAAGUGAGGCACGUGUGCCUCUUUGUAUGUACUUUAUGAAUAAGGACCGGCUAACUCCGUGCCAGCAGCCGCGGUAAUACGGAGGGUCCGAGCGUUAUCCGGAUUUAGUGGGUUUAAAGGGAGCGUAGAUGGGUUGUUAAGUCAGCUGUGAAAGUUUGCGGCUCAACCGUAACAUUGCAGUUGAUACUGGCAGUCUUGAGUACAGUUAAGGUAGGCGGAAUUCGUGGUGUAGCGGUGAAAUGCUUAGAUAUCACGAAGAACUCCGAUUGCGAAGGCAGCUUGCUAAACUGCCACUGACACUGAUGCUCGAAAGUGUGGGUAUCAAACAGGAUUAGAUACCCCUGUAGUC